rnacentral:rRNA from 1 species
UGUGGUUUAAUUCGAUGAUACGCGAGGAACCUUACCAAGGCUUAAAUGGGAAUUGACAGGUUUAGAAAUAGACUUUUCUUCGGACAAUUUUCAAGGUGCUGCAUGGUUGUCGUCAGCUCGUGCCGUGAGGUGUUAGGUUAAGUCCUGCAACGAGCGCAACCCCUGUCACUAGUUGCCAUCAUUCAGUUGGGGACUCUAGUGAGACUGCCUACGCAAGUAGAGAGGAAGGUGGGGAUGACGUCAAAUCAUCACGGCCCUUACGCCUUGGGCCACACACGUAAUACAAUGGCCAGUACAGAGGGCAGCUACCAGGCGACUGGAUGCGAAUCUCGAAAGCUGGUCUCAGUUCGGAUUGGAGUCUGCAACUCGACUCUAUGAAGCUGGAAUCGCUAGUAAUCGCAUAUCAGCCAUGAUGCGGUGAAUACGUUCCCGGGCCUUGUACACACCGCC